UUAAUCGUAAAUGAAGAGUCAUUAUGUCAACAAAGAAAGCAAUCAGGAAUAGGUUUUAUUCUACCAAUGUCGCAAGUCCAUUUCAGAUUGAUAUGUACAACUUUCUGCACCAUAAAUGGGAAUUCACAGAUUGGAAACACAAAAAAGAUACAUAACAAACCUAGCAUAAGGCAAGGUAAGAACAAUCAGCAAAAUGAAUAGACAAAUUUCAGUGACAAAAUCAUGUUCCUAAGCCUCGAUUAAAGUUGAUCCUUGACAUGCAAUUAAGUCCUCCUAUAACCUAUUGACUAGGUGAUGAGAGUUCAAUAGGUUAUAGGAGGACUUAAUCCUUGACAUGCAAUUAAGUCCCCCUAUUAUUGACUAACUGCUCAAAGUUCAAUAAUUGCUGCCCUGUUCUUUUAAAUAAAAUUUAAUUUCUGCACAAGGUAAAAAGGACUUCUAGAUAGACAAACUUUAAAUCCAAAGGCUAUUGCAUGAGGAAGGUUAGAGGCAAGUUUUAUUAUCCAGCUUCCACCUAGCGACAAAAGCUUUUAGAAGAGUUGACUUUCCCAAACUAGAAAAAUAAUAUAAUAGAAUGUGGAAGACAAGAAACUACUGCAAUUUACAUUUACAAGUGCCCUUGCCAUCUUGUUUGUAUAUAUGCCAAGACCCUCCGUUUAAAAACCCACUGGCCAUUAGCAAAGCAACGUAAGGAAGCCGAGAAACGCAGUGUAUAUAAAUAAACUAAUGAGGCACAGACUGGCACAUAAAAGGGGAAGCAUUAAAUUAUUUUCAAUAGCAUAAACAACAAUAAAUUUCCAGAAAU
rnacentral:lncRNA from 1 species